GACAAGACCAAGGGAGCCAGGGGGCCUUGGUGAAUUAGGCCAAACAAACCCACCUCCAAGAGUCUUCUCCCAGACUCCAGCCUUGAGGAUGAGGACUCCAGCCACAGCCUCCUCAAGAAGUUUGAAGUCUGCAUUGAACUCAUUAAUUUCCAGCUUUUGGCCGGGCGUGGUGGCUCAUGACUAUAAUUCCAGCACUUUAGGAGGCCAAGAUGGGGCCCAUGAGUGAGGAGGACAAGAGAGAAAGGAGAAGUUUGGGUGUAAAUCCCAGAGAUUGUUCAUCAUGUGAGAGGAGCCGUGCAUGCAUUUCAUGCCAUACUCACACCAUGGAUGGAGAAAAAAAAUCAAGCUUCACUUUCUGAGAAUGGCCCUGGGGGCACUGCAUCUAGUGCCUGUGCAUCUGCAGACCUGCCGGAUGCCUCCAGGGGAAUCAUGCCACCCCAAGCAAGAAAGGGCCCAGUUGCCAGGAGCCUGGAGGCAGAGAGCUGAGGAGCCAGCCCCUGACAUCAGAAUGGAGCUCAAAGGUUGGCUGGGUGUGACUCUGC
rnacentral:lncRNA from 10 species